GCAGCUCUCGGAACAGUCGAGGCUAGAUUGACACAGCCUGUCCGUUCAGACCCCAGCACCAUGCCCAUGACACUGGGUUACUGGGACAUCCGUGGGCUAGCGCAUGCCAUCCGCCUGCUCCUGGAAUACACAGACUCGAGCUAUGAGGAGAAGAGAUACACCAUGGGAGACGGUGACUGCAUCCUUUAGUCUGAUCCCUGCCCGACUCCUGCCCAUUGUUGCCCAGCAACCGGCACCCAGCUCUCCAACCCCAUCACUCAGUUCUGCCUCUUUUUGUUGGACCUAUAAUAUGCCCCUUCCAAAACCCUUGAUGGUGUGGUGUGACUUACCAAUGAACGAUGCUAAGGAAAGAUUUGAGAAUACUCUGUAUUUAUAACUGGGUUCCAUCCCUCUAGCAAUUGGCUAAGUCUUUCAUAAGCUUUAGUGAUGAGGGAGCUCACAGCCCUUACAAACAUCUUCAAUCUUGAAAGCUUGCAGUGUGACUUCGUGAGUCAGCUUGCAGGUGUACUGCCUUGGAGAGUCUUGUCUCUGAGUCUUUGGGAAAGUCUUGGGAAAGGGGUUUGAACACAUGGGUCCUUUGAUUUCAUAUUAUCUUGUUCACCACAGCUCCCGACUUUGACAGAAGCCAGUGGCUGAAUGAGAAGUUCAAACUGGGCCUGGACUUCCCCAAUGUAGGUGCAGGGGAGGGGAGGUUUGGAGAUGGUGGUGGUGUCCCUAUUCACACAGAUGAGGAGGUCUGGAUUAGUUCUUUGACUUUUAUCUACCCACCCUGGUUGUCCACACCAUCUUUCUGUGAUGGGCUGUACCCCAGCUCUUUCAUUCAGUGAGCACUUCAUAGAAGGCUUUCCAUGCCAGGCACACUGAGUGCCUGUGUCUGUGCCUGAUGUCU
rnacentral:lncRNA from 1 species